rnacentral:rRNA from 1 species
GACGAACGCUGGCGGCGUGCUUAACACAUGCAAGUCGAACGGAAAGGCCCUGCUUGCAGGGUACUCGAGUGGCGAACGGGUGAGUAACACGUGGGUGAUCUGCCCUGCACUUCGGGAUAAGCCUGGGAAACUGGGUCUAAUACCGGAUAGGAGCCAUUUUUAGUGUCAUGGUUGGAAAGUUUUUUCGGUGUAGGAUGAGCUCGCGGCCUAUCAGCUUGUUGGUGGGGUAAUGGCCUACCAAGGCGGCGACGGGUAGCCGGCCUGAGAGGGUGGACGGCCACAUUGGGACUGAGAUACGGCCCAGACUCCUACGGGAGGCAGCAGUGGGGAAUAUUGCACAAUGGGCGCAAGCCUGAUGCAGCGACGCCGCGUGGGGGAUGACGGCCUUCGGGUUGUAAACUCCUUUCGCUAGGGACGAAGCUUUUUGUGACGGUACCUAGAUAAGAAGCACCGGCUAACUACGUG